UGAGGAAUAUUGGACAAUGGGCGAAAGCCUGAUCCAGCGACUCCGCGUGAGUGAUGAAAUCCUUCGGGAUGUAAAACUCUGUCAGGGGGAACGAUAAUGACGGUACCCCCAGAGGAAGCCCCGGCUAACCACGUGCCAGCAGCCGCGGUAAGACGUGGGGGGCGAGCGUUAUCCGGAAUUACUGGGCGUAAAGCGCAUGUAGGUGGGAAAGCAAGUCGAAUGUGAAAUCUUUGGGCUUAACCCAGAGUCUGUGUUUGAUACUACUUUUCUGGAGAACAAUAGGGGAAAGCGGAACUCCCGGUGUAGCGGUGAAAUGCGUAGAUAUCGGGAGGAACACCAGUGGCGAAGGCGGCUUUCUGGAUUGAUUCUGACACUGAGAUGCGAAAGCGUGGGGAGCAAACAGG
rnacentral:rRNA from 1 species